CUUAAAACCAUUUAUUCUUAUUGGAAAUGACAUAAAGGCAUGAUACAUAAAUGUAAGACAUGUUGUGUGCAUAAAUGAUCUAACUCUAAAAUAAUCAAAUACCCACUUUAGUAUAUUUUGGUUUGAAUAGGCUCUCUGUAAUGUUCAACACUCGAUAGAAAAUAAAAAAAUAUUUUAAUAGACUAUCGCCAAAAUAGUCUUAUUUACGUAAAUUAUCAUUACUAUUGAUUUUAUUUACAAAUCUAAGUUUAGGGGUCACUUUAUUUCCUUCACAUGGACGUUGUCGUGUACCACAAAUAUAAAUCCAUCACAGAAAAUACUUUCCCCUGCAGUGCAGGGUGCAGUGCGGGCACAAAACAGAUAUUGAAGAGCAAAAGUGAUGAUUUUUGCGGAAGGAAGUCAUUGUGAAGAAUCCCAGCAGCCCUGUACUGUCUCGCAUACUCUUUCACACAUAUGGUAACAAACACCGGUCUGCGUGCAAACACACACACACACACCACAUAUGAACACACACAAGCACGUGUUCAGAGACACACACACACACACACACACACACACACACACACACACACACACACACACACACACACACACACACACACACACACACACACACACACACACACACACACACACACACACACACACACACACACACACACACACACACACACACACACACACAAAGGCAGACUCAAACAUACACACACACAGGCACAAACAAACAAACAUACACACACUGACCCAUCGGGAGUAAUUUAUGAUAUAAUUAGACAUAUUUAGUUACAUAUUUCCUAUGAAUACAAAGUGAGAUUUUAGGUCUUUCUGAUAAAUCGAUGAAGAGCUAAAACCAAAAAUCGAUUAAAAAACUCACAACUUGAAAUCACUCUUCCAGUCGUUACUCUUCUUCAGGCAAAUGUGGACACAAAUAACAGUUAACGACCUCACUUAAUUCACCAAUGGAAAUAACACGCUUUGAUAAAUAGACCUCGAAAAGGCUGCGUUAACAGAUAGCAUCUACGGUCUGACACGAUUUCCGUUAUAAUUAUCUUUAUUAGCAUGAAUAUUUUACAGAUGCGAGCAUUCUUAUAAAGUUGUUUUUUCUCCACACAACCGCAACUAUUUCCAGAGAAAAUCAACAGAAUGAACCACUGCUCUGUUUGCCCAUUUAGAGUUUUAAUGUCCAUUGAUGGGUAUUAGCUCUGAAGCGGUUAAGUUUUAUCCAUGUUAAAGUAUAGCACAGUACAUGGGCUUAUAGUCGCUUGGGA
ensembl:lncRNA